rnacentral:tRNA from 1 species
GCGCAUGGCUUAGUGGUACAGCGUCUCACUCGUACACAUCUGCGACAUGAGAAGAUCGGCGGUUCGAUUCCGCCUGUGGGCA